UACAGGGGGUGCAAACGUUGCUCGGAAUCAUUGGGCGUAAAGCGCACGUAGGCGGUCUGUUAUGUCGGAUGUGAAAGCCCUUGGCUCAACUGAGGAAGUGCAUCCGAAACUGGCAGGCUAGAGUACUAAAGAGGAUCGCGGAAUUCCCGGUGUAGAGGUGAAAUUCGUAGAUAUCGGGAGGAACACCAGUGGCGAAGGCGGCGACCUGGGCCAAUAUUGACGCUGAGGUGCGAAAGCGUGGGGAGCAAACAGG
rnacentral:rRNA from 1 species